rnacentral:misc_RNA from 1 species
GUCGUGGUGCAGAAACCGGGUCAAUCGUGUCCAAGACCGUUAAUUAAGAAUUUAAGAAAUUAUUUUUCCAGAGUCCAAUAUCAGAUGUCUUGAACAGAAAUAUAAAAUUGUAGGAGCAAUAACGAGAAUGAAUAUGUAAUUAAAUUUAAGCUCCAGAACAUACAUUUGAUCAGAAUCAGUAAUGCAGAUACAAUAAAAAGCUCCACUCGUAUUAAGAACUGUUUAAUUCGUGCAAUUAGAAAGAAAUUAUUGCUUUCCGCUUUCUACCGCGCUUUAGCCUCUUAAAAUCUCCGUUUCCUUUUUUUCUCCAUUCGGAUCGAUCGAUAUGGAAAAAGUGUUGGCGGUUUCGCGUCCAAAUGUGCAAUAAAUAGCAAAACGUCCGUGCAAUUGCUCGUAACUGGUUGGUUAUAGAGUUUGAAAAUAAACGAGGCCGAUUCGUCGUUCGUUUCUAAUAUUAACUUUCCCGAUAAAAUUCAUUUCCUCGGUUUCUGACGAUUUUAUCGAUCCCCUAAUGAAAUUUUCUUUAUCCGCAUGUUCGAGCCAAGGUCGAAAAGAAAAUCGUUCGAAAAGAAGCCGGAGAAAAGGAGACAAAUCUUUGAUCGAAACGAGAUAAAAUUUAUCUAGAAGGGAGUUACUCUCAGCUUUUACUUCCUCUCUCGAAGAACAGAAGAAUAGGGGUAAAAAACUUGUGUCGAUUCGACCGUAUCGAAUCGUCUACCGGCAAGCCACUCGGCAAAGAUCAGGAAAAAAGUUGGGGGAGAAAGAUCGCUGCCGAAAUGUUACUAAUCCUGUUAAUAAAAAAGAUGCGACACUUAUCACAGGAAAUUCGUGAAGUUUGCUGACACUUGGGAAAUCACCCCCAGAAACUUUUCUUCCCUCGACUUGACGAACUGCUGUUCCAUCGACAAAAACAGCAGAGGUUGAAAAAAUUCAUUAUGAAAUGCCUUCAAACAAGACUGGGAUCGAUCGCUUUCAGAUGCUAAUCGGAUAAAAUAUGAUCAACGACGACCGAUGAUCUCUGGACGCCCGUCGCGUUAUCAAAUCGCCCGGAUGGCUAAGGGAAUGGGAAAGGAAAAUGGGGAGAAUCAGCUUUAAUGUCAUGGAAAUUGGUGCAGGAUCGACCUGGAUGCAACUUUCUCACUGAACAUUUUCUCUGUUCUUCUUCGACCGUUCUAUGUUCCGGGAAAGAAAAGAAAUAUUCAAAAUGGAGGGACAAAGUUGUGCGAAAGUCCGUGGACAAUAGAAGAAGAUUCAGAGGAUGGACAAAGUUGGAAAAUCUUGAAAAAAUUAAUCUAUCUCAUAAAAUAUAAUUGUUAUCGUUAGUAGGUGUCUUAAUUGUAUCGGAUAAGGUAGCUCGCAACAUAUGUGUAUUUCUCCUUAUCGAUUAAGGAGAAGCGUAAACUGUCCUUAUUUCUCGUUAUUAAUACUCGAAAGCUAUACCUACGAAUAUCGGAUAGAGUCAGUUACCCAUUUUACUUAUUAUUACAAAAACUAAUUUAUUCUAAAACCCUGACAUAUUAUCGGACGAAAAUGUUAAUGAACAAACUCUCCCCAAGAUUUCUAUAUCCACUCCUAAUGAAGAAGAAACUGACCAGUGAAUUUUCUGCGAGGACAGGCAAAUUUUGUGAAUAUCGAUUAUCGUGUAAGACUAUUAUUCGUGAUACGUAAGGAAAGAAAAAUGUAUUCGAUCGAGAAGACGUUAAUCGUGUGGUCCACCAUGGUGUCUAUAUUGGUGGACGCUACAGACUACCAGGACGAUUACACAUCCGUAGAAUACAUCGACGAGUCUGAUAUGGAUUUCAACUCCACCAAUUGUAGCAACAUUUAUUGCAUUUCGAACGAGGAAUACGUGGAUCGUAUGAUGAAUUACAUAUUCCCAAAAUUGUGGGAUUGGGUGCUGAUAGCUUCUCACGGUAUCAUCUUUGUCGUUGGAUUAGUUGGAAACGUGCUAGUCUGUACCGCGGUCUACAGAAAUCACACAAUGAGGACUGUGACGAAUUACUUUAUCGUCAAUCUGGCUGUGGCUGAUUUUCUGGUACUGUUGCUCUGUCUUCCUUUCACGGUGCUCUGGGAUAUCACCGAAACAUGGUUCCUGGGACUGACUUUAUGCAAAGCCGUGCCAUAUCUCCAGACAGUAUCAGUGACCGUGAGCAUAUUGACUCUAACUUUCAUAUCGAUAGACCGAUGGUACGCGAUAUGUUUCCCUUUGAGGUUCAAAUCUACGACUGGACGAGCGAAAACAGCGAUUAUUGGAAUCUGGGUGAUAGCCCUGCUAUUUGAUAUUCCAGAUUUGAUAGCGUUACACACCUUUCCACCGACGCAUAUCAGAGUAAAAACUAUCCUGUUCACUCAAUGCGCCACAUCUUGGAGUCAAAGAAGUCAAAUCACCUUCACCAUCGUUAAGCUUAUCUUUCUGUACACUGGACCCUUAAUCUUCAUGAGCGUGGCGUACUGGCAGAUCGUUAGAGUCCUCUGGAGAAGCGACAUUCCAGGACACAAUUUACUGCCACGGGCAUCCCAGAUGAGCCGGACUCCUUCGUCCGGGGGCGGAAAUCCUGAGAUACAGCUAAGAUCCAGAAGGAAAGCAGCGAAAAUGUUAGUUACGGUGGUCAUCACUUUUGCCAUCUGCUAUUUCCCCGUGCAUUUACUCUCUAUCUUAAGAUAUACCAUUAUGUUGCCCUCGGACAAGUGGAUGAACAAUAUCUGUUUGGUCGCGCACGGCCUCUGUUACUUCAAUAGCGCGGUUAAUCCUCUGAUCUACAACUUCAUGAGCGGUAAGUUCCGGCAGGAGUUUCGUCGUACGUUCCAAGAAUGCGCACCUUCGAACCACUCAAACGGUCACAGGCCGAACCAACAACUCAGCUACGCUUACAUGGCAAGUGGAUACCGGUCUGCUCUGCAAAGUCGUCGUGAACAAUUCUGACACGCGGAGAUGCGAGUCUCGUGGGUGAAAAAAGCCCCUAAUACAGUCGCGGAAGGACCUCAGGCCGGAAACGAAUCUCCACAGGAUCAAUGUAGUCUUGGAUUAAACCCGCUACAAAAUUGAUUAAGCUUAGGGGAAAUUUCGAAAGGAAUUUAGACGUACUUUCCGUUGCGCUCAAGAAAGUAGUUCGCGCAUUCAACGUGGAUAUCUAGCGAGUACAUC